rnacentral:misc_RNA from 1 species
AUUAAAAAAAAAAAAAAAAAAAGAAGAUGAUGAAGGACGAGAUCAUGAUCAGAAUAUUGAAGACAGUUCCAUGGACUCUUCCACUUGACCAGCACCAGUUUCCUCCAAGAGCCACUUCUCAAGAAAUGAUAAUGGAGGAUUACUGUCAGAUUUCUGCUUCUUCUCUGCCUCAGCAAUAAUAUCAUUCUCCUUCUCUUCACUUGCAGAAUCUUGAUGAAUACCCUUUACAGCAGAAAUAUUAUUGGUAGAAUCACGAUUGGAUUUGUCCCAUGCAACAUUGUUCAAGUUAUCAAAAGAUAAAAUGGACUCAAACUCUUCAUGAGAAAUCAGACCACCGCCACCACCAUUUUCUUGCUCAGCUUUUGGCCUGUAACACUGACGAGAAGUUGUAGCCACUGGAAUGCUAACGUUUCCUUCUGGGUUCUCCAAGUUAUUGCUGUCUUGGUUCCAUUUCUCUUUGAAUAGAUCAUUAGUACCAUGAUUGUUAUUAGGCUUUGGAGAUGUUCUCAUCCAACCUUCAAGAAGCCGCGAAAUGUUUUCUGUGCUUGAUGCAUAGGUGGGGGAGGUUUGGUUGAGCUUGAGAGUUGAAGAAUUGGGACUCAAAUUCAAGAAUCUUGAUCUCUCACUGAAGCUCUUUGACACAAACUGGUUAGUUGUUGUUGUUGUUGAUGAGUCUUGUGCUGCCAUGGGAUGGUCCAAAGCUGAUUGGAACUUCUUUAGCUUCUUCUUCAGGUGGGUGUUCCAGUAAUUCUUUAUAUCAUUAUCUGUUCUUUGUGGAAGAUAUGAAGCAAUUGCUGCCCAUCUGUUCAAACCAAAGGUAAUGAACUUCCCAUUUCAGAUUUCAUCAAAAUAAAUAAAUAAACAAACAAAAAGAAUGACUAGGGAUUAAAUUAAUUAAUACCAAAUUUGAAUUUCCAAAAUUAAGUUAAAAAUAUAGAAGUUGAAGAGAAAAUUGAGGAUUACUUGUUACCCAAUAAAGCUUGCAAGUGAAUUAUCAUCCCUUCUUCAUGAGGUGUGAAAUUUCCUCUCUUAAUUCCGGGUCUGAGAUAAUUAGUCCAUCUAAGCCUGCAACUUUUGCUGCACCUCAACAGCCCUUUUGCAGAAACAAAGAUUUGAUCAAUUAAUUACAAUCUUUUGCCAAUUUCCACAAAAUCUAGACAAAGAUUUUAUAUAAAUAUGCAAGUUAAACUUAUAUGAAUUCAGAAACAUGUAUAACAGAAAAGAGAGCUAAGAUAAUAAUAUUAUGAACACAAGUUGGAUCUGUAGCAUGGCAUUUGAUUACCAGUAUUGGUAGGAACUGAUCUCCAGUUUCCUGGACCAUGUUCUUGGAUAUAAGACACUAGAAUAAUAUCCUCCUCAGGGGUCCAUGGACCCUUCUUGAUUCCAACUUUAUCACAGCAAGGAGGUCUUCCCAUGGCUUCUCUUUCUCUCUCCUCUCUCACUUGCUCAUAUUCCCUCUGUGUACAGAUUUCAAGCUAUAUGGACCUU